UACGUAGGUGGCAAGCGUUACUCGGAAUCACUAGGCGUAAAGCGCAGGUAGGCGGUUCGGUAAGUCUUUUGUGAAAGCUCCCGGCUUAACUGGGAGAGGUCAAAGGAAACUACCGGGCUAGAGUGUGGUAGGGGAAACUGGAAUUCCUGGUGUAGCGGUGAAAUGCGCAGAUAUCAGGAGGAACACCAAUGGCGAAGGCAGCACUCUGGGACGUGACUGACGCUGAGACGCGAAAGCGUGGGGAGCAAACAGG
rnacentral:rRNA from 1 species